rnacentral:rRNA from 1 species
CGGACGGGUGAGUAACGCGUGGGUAACCUACCCUGUACACACAGAUAACAUACCGAAAGGUAUGCUAACACGGGAUAAUAUAUUUGAGAGGCAUCUCUUGAAUAUCAAAGGUGAGCCAGUACAGGAUGGACCCGCGUCUGAUUAGCUAGUUGGUAAGGUAACGGCUUACCAAGGCGACGAUCAGUAGCCGACCUGAGAGGGUGAUCGGCCACAUUGGAACUGAGACACGGUCCAA